UUAGAACCAUAUAUUGGUCUAUAUUUUUAAUUAAGAUGAUUUGGAUUAAAAUUUAGGUUACCUCAUGUUAUUUUUAAUAAUAGAACAUGUGGGUAAUAUAGAUGUACAUUUAUGGGUUACUUUAAGAUAUUUUUAUUUAAGUAUUAGUGGUGGACAAUUUUGUUACAAAUUUAGGAGGUAAUUUUAAAUUAUUUUUAUAAUAACAUAAGUGAGUAAUUUUGAUGACGGACCUUGCUAAAGUACACCAAUUACCUCCUGGGAGGUAAGACAUGAAUUAAAUCUGGACCCUUGAUUAGUAAGA
rnacentral:lncRNA from 1 species